CUCACUCCCCCUAAUUACUCAAUACGCCCUCGUGAGGCUCCAUUCUUUUGGUCUAAAGCAUUUUCCUAGCUACACCCCCAAUUUUUGACUUGUUUUUGUUUUUUGUAUAUUUUUUAGUUAUUGUUUUCUUAUUAUUACUUUAUUUAUUAAUUUUUGUUUUUUUUUUCAUUUUUCUUUAUUUUUUUUAAUUCUUUACCUAGCUACGCCCUAGGAUCCAUUUCAUUUUUCAUUUUUCAUUUUCCUAGCUACGCCCUUGUGAGGCUCCUUUUAUUAUUUAUUUUUACCUUUUUUAUUACUUUAUUUUUUAGUUUAUUUUAUUAUAUUUUUAGUUGAUGCAUAAUUGUUAAUCCAAAAAGACAAAAUGACCAUUUAAA
rnacentral:lncRNA from 1 species